CAAGCUGCUGCCUGGCAGGUCCCCGUACCCAGGCUAGGGAAGUUUGUUAUUUCUCCUGCUCCGACUUCCCCCUUUGAUUUAUUAUAGCCAUGAAAUGCUCUGCUCUCUUCUCUUUUCCUUGCUGUACCCCGGGGUUGGAGGAACACAGGCCUCCCCAGGCCCCAGGAUUCAGCCUUACUGGACUACCAUCUCUUUCCAAGGGCAGGGCAUGGGGACCAGGAAUGAGAGGCCCUGGAAGCCACCACACAUCUACAGUUUGUCAUCUCUUUGUCCCUGCUGUGUGGGCAGGAAGAUUCCCGCCUCUUCUGGUCACCUGGCAGCUAGAGAACCCAACAGUCCCAGUUAGAGCAGAGAAAGAUGGCUGAACAGAGCUGUACGAGCCUCUGACCGUGGCAUCCGGGAAGCAGAAACAGAAGACCUGUAAGUUCAAGGCCAGAAAAAAAAAAAAAAGAAUAAAGAAAGAAUAACCCAGAUCGAUAAGGACCUGGUUAUAGAAACCGUGACCACGAGACACUAUCCAGCAACGACAAGAACCACAGCAACAUGCAUCCACACGGGCCACAGGGGCGAUACCCAAGUUCCUGCAAGUUUCCUCUAUCAUUUUCUGUUAUGAAAAUAAAUUAGAAAGCCAGUCUAGGUUAGAGAGGGAGUUCCAGGCUAACCAGACCGGCAUGGGUCAAUUGUAAGUAAGCGAGUACAUUAAAUAAAUAAAAGCGAAGAACUAGAAUGUACAUCUAGACACGUUUAUAAGGAAGAGCAGACAGGGCUGUAGCUGAGUCUUGGCCGGUACUCGCGAGACCUUUAUUUCAAUCCCCAGUACCACAAAGAAGCAGGACUGAGGGACAGGCUGGGAAUCCCAGCUUCUGGAGAAAAUGAGAUGAGUGUGUGUCUGGGGGUGGGCAGGAAGUUCCAGACCUGCUGGGCAAUUCAGUGACAUUUUGUUUCAUAUUAAACUGUAAAGGGAAGCCAGGAAGAUACAACUCAGUGGUAGAGCACUUGCCUGCCUUAUGUGAGGCCCUGGGUUCAGCCUCAGUGCAAGACAGAAAGAAAAAUCAAGGAAAUAAAGUUAGGGUACAGUUCCUUCUAGAAGGAAAUGAGGGGAGGGCACCUAGGGCUUGCUUCAACCUGGGCUUCUCUCUCCUGGCUUUCUUUAACAGCUCCAUUCCCAGACCUGAUGUUCAUGUCUUCGCCCGGGUAAUUAUGUCCCAGGUGUUAACCCCACAGUUAUUUUUCGCCGCCCCUACGUAUGUUCUGUACUCUGUUUUAUGAAUGGUGUCCCAUGGUCUGCAGAUACACAGCCGGACGGGGAGACACACAUUCAGUGCCUCGCUGCUGGGUUUGUUCUUUUCUGUUUUUCAGUACCUGGGAAUCAAACUCGUGGCCUUGCGCUUGUUAGGGAAGCACUCUAAACACUGGGGUACAUCUUCAGCUGUAGUCCUUGCUACUUAUGAGAUUGAGGGUCACUCGAGCCCAGGAAUUUGGGGAUAACCAUCACAAGACACUAUCUCAAUAAAAUAAAUACGUUUUUUAUAUGUAUUUAGUGUGUGUGCAUCGUGGCCUGCGGUGAGGGCGUGCAUGCGAGCUAUGCACAUGUGCGGAGGUGAG
ensembl:lncRNA